rnacentral:tRNA from 1 species
AAAGAAUCAUCCAAAAAAAGCUUCUAACUUUAAACACAAGCAUUAACAUGUUUAU